rnacentral:rRNA from 1 species
CCUACGGGUGGCUGCAGUGGGGAAUAUUGCACAAUGGGGGAAACCCUGAUGCAGCGACGCCGCGUGAAGGAAGAAGUAUUUCGGUAUGUAAACUUCUAUCAGCAGGGAAGAACAUGACGGUACCUGACUAAGAAGCCCCGGCUAACUACGUGCCAGCAGCCGCGGUAAUACGGAGGGGGCAAGCGUUAGCCGGAUUUACUGGGUGGAAAGGUAGCGUAGGCGGCGAUGCAAGUCAGAAGUGAAAGCCCGGGGCCCAACUCCGGGACUGCUUUUGAAACGGUGUUGCUAGAUUGCAGGAGAGGUAAGUGGAAUUCCUAGUGUAGCGGUGAAAUGCGUAGAUAUUAGGAGGAACACCAGUGGCGAAGGCGGCUUACUGGACUGUAAAUGACGCUGAGGCUCGAAAGCGUGGGGAGCAAACAGGAUUAGAUACCCGAGUAGUC